UGAACGCUAGCGGGAUGCCUUACACAUGCAAGUCGAACGGCAGCACGGACUUCGGUCUGGUGGCGAGUGGCGAACGGGUGAGUAAUGUAUCGGAACGUGCCUAGUAGCGGGGGAUAACUACGCGAAAGCGUAGCUAAUACCGCAUACGCCCUACGGGGGAAAGCAGGGGAUCGCAAGACCUUGCACUAUUAGAGCGGCCGAUAUCGGAUUAGCUAGUUGGUGGGGUAACGGCUCACCAAGGCGACGAUCCGUAGCUGGUUUGAGAGGACGACCAGCCACACUGGGACUGAGACACGGCCCAGACUCCUACGGGAGGCAGCAGUGGGGAAUUUUGGACAAUGGGGGAAACCCUGAUCCAGCCAUCCCGCGUGUGCGAUGAAGGCCUUCGGGUUGUAAAGCACUUUUGGCAGGAAAGAAACGUCAUGGGUUAAUACCCCGUGAAACU
rnacentral:rRNA from 2 species